GACGAACGCUGGCGGCGUGCUUAACACAUGCAAGUCGAACGGUGAACCAGAGCUUGCUCUGGGGAUCAGUGGCGAACGGGUGAGUAACACGUGGGCAACCUGCCCAGACUCUGGGAUAACUCCGGGAAACCGGAGCUAAUACCGGAUACGACUACUUCGGACAUCCGACGGUAGUGGAAAGUUUUUCGGUCUGGGAUGGGCCCGCGGCCUAUCAGCUAGUUGGUGGGGUAAUGGCCUACCAAGGCGACGACGGGUAGCCGGCCUGAGAGGGCGACCGGCCACACUGGAACUGAGACACGGUCCAGACUCCUACGGGAGGCAGCAGUGGGGAAUAUUGCACAAUGGGCGAAAGCCUGAUGCAGCGACGCCGCGUGAGGGACGACGGCCUUCGGUUGUAAACCUACUUUCUAGCAGGGACGAAGCGAAAGUGACUGUACCUGCAGAAGAAGCACCGGCUAACUACGUGCCAGCAGCCGCGGUAAU
rnacentral:rRNA from 1 species